GCGGCAAUGGUGGAAGUGGUAGACACGCUAGCUUGAGGUGCUAGUGGCCGAGAGGCCAUGGAGGUUCAAGUCCUCUUUGCCGCA
rnacentral:tRNA from 1 species